ensembl:lncRNA
UACAGAGUGAACAAUGGCGGCCACCACUUCGUUUUAUAUGUCUUUUAUUCGUGUUUCUAGGUCACAAAAUAAGCUUUUAAGAUAUUUUCAGGCGAGAAUGUAGGUGUGUAAACUUCAAAUAUCUGCUUGUUUUAUCAAGACAUCCCAUAUUUAGCGACAGUGCUCUGACUACGUUGGUCCUGCCUGACAGCUAGCCGGCUACCUAGCUGGCUACCUAGCUAGCUGCCGCACUUGGCUGCAAAUGGAUAGCGAGGGGACUCUCUCUGUCGUUUCACCUCCCUGGUCUCUCGCAAAUGCUCGCAUAGAAUCGGAGUUACAGCUGGAUGUGGAAAAAAUAACUGAGUUGUUUGGUGGUGGAGCUACAACAGAGGGCAGCUACCCACCGGUGUGUGACAGAAAGGACAUGCCGCCAACGAGACAUAUGAGGCCGGGCAGGCGAUUGCUAACGCGGUGGUCAAUCAUGGAUCAGGGAAAGCGAAGGCAGGAGCGUGAGGUGAACUGAAUUUCAGGUAAGAAGUUAUGAACUGCACUCUAUUUGGGUCAGAUAUAAACCGAGUUUAGGUGUAGUUUAUUUAGCAGCAGUUCUCUUAUGUGUUGCUGAUAGCCGGCUAGCUAGCUAGCGCCGCUAGCAUAGUUAGCUCGCGCCGCUAGCAACCCUUCGUGAAAAAGCACCCAGGCUUGGCUUAUAUUGAGGCGGGUGAAACUCGUGUCAGCACCCGGUCGCUCUCUAUUUGGGUCAGAUAUAAACCGAGUUUAGGUGUAGUUUAUUUAGCAGCAGUUCUCUUAUGUGUUGCUGAUAGCCGGC